GGGGGGCAAGCGUUGUUCGGAAUUACUGGUCGUAAAGGGCUUGUAGGUGGCCAACUAAGUCAGACGUGAAAUCCCUCAGCUUAACUGGGGAACUGCGUCUGAGACUGGUCGGCUUGAGUGCAGGAGAGGAACGCGGAAUUCCAGGUGUAGCGGUGAAAUUCGUAGAUAUCGGGAGGAACACCGGUGGCGAAGGCGGCGACCUGGGUCGAGACUGACGCUGAGGCGCGAAAGCGUGGGGAGCAAACAGG
rnacentral:rRNA from 1 species